GAGUCGAUCACAGGCCUGGUUCGUGUUUCGUAGCAAUGAUCUAUACAAGAAAAAGCAAUGUCGACUUUUCAAAUACGGUGGUGGCAUCCAAAGAGGCAUCUGCCUCCUAAUUUUCAAGUUCAAAGACGAGAACUUUCCAUGUGUCCUGCCCUCUAGAAUGAAUGGACUUGCUUUAACAACUUGUACAAGAAAAACGAGUUGAUAUUUUUCCAUGCCAGCCCCAUCUCACAGCAUCAAAGAUUUCUCCACCACAUGAAUAAUCUAUCAUGUCAAAUACCUUUUCCUCCCUCCCCCCCUCUGUACCAUGCUAUAAAUGCAGGUUGUUGACGAAGUUCUAGAUAGUUUUGUUCAUCUAGUCUUUGUCAUCCUUCUGGGCUAGCUAGCUUCUUUCUCUUCGACUACUCUCAUACGAGGUGUUCAAGCUCAAGGGACUGCUUCGCUUUUGCGUGAUGGCAUCUCAAAAGGCUAAAGGGCUACAUGUCACAAGCAACCAUGUUGCUAAGGAGCUCUUCAACACCAGUUCUUGGAUCCCUGCUCUCAUCUUUCUCCGACAGCCCUAACAACAGCAGCAACAAUAUUCACCACCAUGAUAUUAACACCACAUUCAAGCACAGCCCAAUUCACCACCAAAGCAUAAACAAACUUCCACAACGAUGAGCGAUACUACAAUCCGAACCAAACCAGGAAAGUCUCCGGGAGAUCAAAGUGCUUGAUGUUAGAAACUAUACCAUCAUUUUCUUUUAGUGCUUCGGGAGGUCGCUAUGAAGAUGAGGAUGAGGAAGAUGAAGAUCAGAGUGACGUCCAAGAUGAGGAGAAGAGAGCAGAAUUAGAAGAGAAUGUGGCUGAAAAUCCUCAAAUUUCGAUUUUUUUUUUUUGAAAACUAGCAUAGUUUCAAAAAAGUUAAGAGGAAAUGACACUUUUAAACGUUUUAUGAAAAUGACGUAGUUUUUAUAUAA